GGUAUGGCCGGAAGGGGAGGAGGCUCUCUCCAAUGAUGCAGUCGCUGCAAUAAGCAGCCUGCUCACUAUGGACCCCAUCAAGCGACCACGGUUUUCAGGGGUACGUAAGUUGAGGUUAUUCUUGGAUAUAGACUGGGAGAACUUGCUCAGUAUCGGCCCGCCGUUUGUCCCUGAACCGGAUGAUGCCACAGACACCUGUUACUUCGAAGCUCGUAACACUUAUCAACAGAUGAAUAUGUCAGAUGUGGAUCUGUAGCUAAAAGAACAGACAUUUUCGACAGUCGUAUGGCAAGGCUGAACACCCCAUUAUAUAUGGUGUUAUUCACCAAAGAUAUGUUAUUCACCAAUAAUGCGGUGUCAUUCAACACUGAUAUGGUGUUAUUCAACAAUGAUAUGGUGUUAUUCAUCAUGAUGUGGUGUCAUUCACCAAUCAUGUUGUCAUUCACCAAAGAUGUGUCAUUUACACACGAAGUACUAUCAUAUACCAAUGAUGUAUGUCUGUGGUAGGUACAAAGCCGUUAUUGUUUUUAUUAGGAUUAGUUAAAAACUGUGAUGUAUUUUCUUGAUAGUUAUGUUAUAAUUUCUGUAAAUAUAUUAUUCGAAUUAUGAGGAAUCAAGAAAUAUAUUAGUUUAACUGCGUGAUCUCUGAUCGUGUGAUUUCUCUAAACGCGACACGUUUUCUUGUUUUGGGUUGCUUGGUUAUUUGUGGGUGGGAUAAAAAGUUUUAUUUAAAUUGUGCGUGGGUGGGAUUUAUGUGUGGGUGUAUAGGUUCACAAUCACGUUUCUGUGAGCACGAUAUAUAUGAUAUAAAACGUUUUCUUACUAUUCCUAUACAAUUCGCUAAUAUAUAUUUUUUCCAUGUGUAUUAGGCAGCUUGUGAAAGAAUUGUUGUUCCUUAUUAAAAGGAAAUGGCUAGAGUUUUGUAUAUAGUAAAACGUGGUAGCCGAAUGUACGUUGCAAAAAAACUGUUCUAAUGAGCAUACAUUAUGAUAACGCAUUUGUAGUUGUAGUACAGUAUGUGUAAUCAUCAGUCAUUUAAACGACUGAAAGUUAAGUAGUCGCAUUUCACAACCCAGUGUUAGCUUUGGCGCCUUUUUGUCACGAAAUUAUACUUGCAUUGGAGUUUCAUUUACCAACACGAUAACAACGUGUAGAAUGUGAGCCAAUAAAUUCAACAUAAUAG